rnacentral:pre_miRNA from 1 species
UUUGUACUUCAUCUGUCCCAAAAUUCUUAUCUUAAAUUUUUCUAAAUACGGAUGUAUCAAGUCACGUUUUAGUAUUAGAUACAUUCAUAUCUAGACUAAUCUAAAACAAGAAUUUUGGGACGGAGGUAGUACUUG